rnacentral:rRNA from 1 species
GCUUGCUCCGCUGACGAGUGGCGAACGGGUGAGUAAUACAUCGGAACGUGUCCUGUAGUGGGGGAUAGCCCGGCGAAAGCCGGAUUAAUACCGCAUACGAUCUAAGGAUGAAAGCGGGGGAUCUUCGGACCUCGCGCUAUAGGGGCGGCCGAUGGCAGAUUAGCUAGUUGGUGGGGUAAAGGCCUACCAAGGCGACGAUCUGUAGCUGGUCUGAGAGGACGACCAGCCACACUGGGACUGAGACACGGCCCAGACUCCUACGGGAGGCAGCAGUGGGGAAUUUUGGACAAUGGGCGCAAGCCUGAUCCAGCAAUGCCGCGUGUGUGAAGAAGGCCUUCGGGUUGUAAAGCACUUUUGUUCGGGAAGAAAA